UAAAUUACAAUUGGCGGAGUGGGGAUUCGAACCCGUGUACACGAGUCCUCAAUCUUUGUCGCCGAGCCAAGACUUGGUUGGUUGCUAUUGUUCAAUGUGAAUUCCCCACAAAACUGUUAAGAUUAUAAUUUCAGACAUUUGAAAAAAUGGGUUAGCAUUAAUUAGAGUGGGAUUUUGACUUGUAAUGAAAAUUGAGAGGAUGGUAGUGUCUCUGGGACAAUUCCUUGCCUUUUGUGGACGCCCUAUAAAAGACCUAGGAAUACAUUUGUGUGUUAAAUACACUUUAUUGAAUGUCAUUUGUUAAUUGGAACAACCUUUUUGUCAUCGUAGGGAUAAGGUUGCGUACAUUUGGACCCAUUUGACCCUGCGCAAGGCGGGAUUCUUUGUAUAGGUGUUGGGAUGAUGUUGAUAGGUUUUUAUUCUUAGGUGAGUUUGGUUGGGUUGGGCAGUGUUUGUGGUGUGUGUGUGCCGUGCACGUGCUUGUUACUUUUAUGAAUGUUCUAAGAGUUUACAAUUCCAUCAAUUUCUUCUUUGGCUUACUUAAUCUUGCUUUUCUUUCACCAAACAAGUAUGCUCUAUGGACUGGAUGCAUUAAUUUGUUGUGAUGGACUUGGUUUGGAAUGUAAUGAAUAUGUUUGUGAUUUUGUUAGUCUAAUUGACUAUAUAUGUGCUGUUAAAUGGCUUUCUAACACGAGCAUAAUAUGAUUUUUUUACUACCACGAAAGUGAAUGAUUGAACAUUGGUUACUUAACCCAUACUAGUGGCAAAGUGCUUAAUUUCAAGUGAACACUGUCUAUGUUUUGCUCUCUUGAAGGCUUAGGGUGGUCAAUCGUUGGUGCACAUGACUAGUUUAUGUGUAUCAAUCAGAUUGUAGUUUAUCUGUGAAUAUUGUUUGAGUUGGAAGAAACUUGAUGUUUGAAGACCAUGGGUUCUUGUUGUGGCUUGCAGGUAUCAUUGUAAUCCAAGGAAAAAGUGUUGUCUGCACGGUGAAAGCAACAUCACUCUUUAAUUAAGCUUGGAUAAGCCCUUGAAUUUGAAGAAUUAAGAACUGUACAAAAAGCCAUCUGUUGAACUGGUGUUAUUUUCAUGCCUGCCCAAGCUCUUGGUUUUAUUCAUCAUCUGAUCUUUCUCUAGUUGUGAUCGUAGCGUACCUGAAAGCAACCCCAUUCUGAAAGGGCUGACCGAAGCUUUGCAAGUUCCUGUGUUGAGGAAGAGAGGAGUGAAAAGUCAAUGAGCAGAUUAUCUCUCCACAAAUCAGGGGCAUCAAUGGCUUCAGGGAAACCAUCUUUGUGGAGAUUGCUUAAUCAUACCUGAAAACAACCCCAUUGAAAGAGAGCUGAUCAGAUUUUUUCGAGUUCAGUUGCUGAGGAGGAAGAGAGAAGAGAUAAGAGAUAAAUCAAUAAUCAAUUUAUCUCUCCACAAAUCAGAGGCAUCAAUAGCUUCAGGGAAGCCAUCUUUGUGGAGAUUGAAAGAAUGAACAGGAGAAGUAGGAAGAAAGCAAGCUUACCUGAAAGCAACCCCAUUUGGAGAGAGCUGAUCGGAGCUUUGCAAGUUCAGGUUCAGAGUACGAAGAGAGAAGGGAAAAAUCAAUGAGCAAAUCACCUCUCCAUAAAUCAGGGGCAUCAAUGGCUUCAGGGAAACCAUCUUUGCGAAAAAAAACCUCUGUUAAAUAGGGCUGAUCAGAGCUAUACGAGUUCAGCUCCAGCAGCAGGUGCUGUGGAAAAAAAAAAAAAAAAAAAACUAGCUUUCAAAGAGCUUACUAUAUAAACUGCUAUUCAUACAAUCAUAGGUUAAGGGCAUGAACAAUGGCUUCAUCAAAACCACCUAUGUGCAGGAAUUCCUCUGAAAGAUAGAAUGAACGAGAGAGGCAGGAAGAAAUUAAGCUUACCUGAAAGCAACCCCAUUUGGAGAGAGCUGAUCGGAGCUUUGCAAGUUCAGGUUCAGAGUACGAAGAGAGAAGGGAAAAGUCAAUGAGCAAAUCACCUCUCCACAAAUCAGGGGCAUCAAUGGCUUCAGGAAAACCAUCUUUGCGGAAAAAAUCCUCUGUUAGAAGGCUCUGGAUCACACUUACCAAAUUACCAUGGACAGAGGAUUGAAAUCAAUUAUGCUUGUGAUUGAGAGCAUGUACAUCUGUCAGUUAAAGAGGGCUGAUCAGAGCUCGAUGAGUUCAGCUCCGGCAGCAGGUACUGUGGAAUAAAUAGAGUAGAGUUCAAAGAGCUUACUAUCUGCUAUUCAUGAAACCAUAAGUUAAGGGCAUGAACAAUGGCUUCAUCAAAACUACCUUUGUGCAGAAUUUUUCUGAAAGAUAGAAUGAACGAGAGAGGCAGGAAGAAAUUAAGCUUACCUGAAAGCAACCCCAUUUGGAGAGAGCUGAUCGGAGCUUUGCAAGUUCAGGUUCAGAGUACGAAGAGAGAAGGGAAAAGUCAAUGAGCAAAUCACCUCUCCACAAAUCAGGGGCAUCAAUGGCUUCAGGGAAAUCAUCUUUGCGGAAAAAAUCCUCUGACAGCACACUUACCUCUCCUAAUUCACCCAAGUUGAUUAACAGCGCGCCUGGGACGACUGAGACCUUAUACCAUUGAUCACCUUUCAAAAUCUGGAGACCAUCAACCUCAUUAUCUGGCAAGAGAUAUGUGAUCGUUGAGCCAUCCGAAUGAGGUUUGACCCCAAGAACACGUUCCGGGCAUGCAUGGGUAUCGAGAAACGAAGUUGAACCUUGCUAUUUUUGGUCCUUGUUUCCCAGAUUUGAAGCUGUUUUCUUCCAA